UACGUAGGGGGCAAGCGUUGUCCGGAAUCAUUGGGCGUAAAGCGCGCGUAGGCGGCCCUGUAAGUCCGUUGUGAAAGUCGAAGGCUCAACCUUCGAAAGCCGAAGGAUACUGCAGGGCUAGAGUCCGGAAGAGGCGAGUGGAAUUCCUGGUGUAGCGGUGGAAUGCGCAGAUAUCAGGAGGAACACCAAUAGCGAAGGCAGCUCGCUGGGACGGUACUGACGCUAAGGCGCGAAAGCGUGGGGAGCGAACAGG
rnacentral:rRNA from 1 species